UUCCUUGACCUUGUAUCUGUGGAUGAUGGUAAAGCUGACAAUAGUUGCUGCUGUGAAGGAUGUCAUCCAGGAGAAGGGACUCCCAACAAACAGGCUGCAUGGUCUUGGAACUGAUGGGGCAGCUGUGAUGACGGGUAAAAUUAAUGGGGUUGCAAAGCAGCUGACCGACAGCUUCCCCAAGCUAGUUUCCGUUGCAUGUGCUGCCCAACACCUUGCCCUGGCCUGCAAGGAUUCAUCUAACGAGGUCAGGUACAUGGGAACAUUUCGAGACCAUCUACAAGAGCUCUACCUCUAUUUUCACAGCAGCGCUAAUCGCACUGCUAAACUUAAGUCAGCAGCCCAUGUCCUUGGCAUCAGUGCCUUGAAAGUGAAGGAAGUAAAGGAUGUCCGAUGGCUAUCCCAGCACCUCGCCAUUCAGACCCUUCAAAAGAACUUCCCAGCUGUGCUUGCAGCAUUGGCUGAGGAAGCAGAACUGAGGAAGUGUCCAGUAGCAAAAGG